rnacentral:misc_RNA from 1 species
UACUCUCACACUUCUCAUCCUUUGGAUUUGGAGCGGUGGACUUGGGUGUUGCCGCUUUACGGUGGCUCACCUCUAAUGCAUUCGUGCAACUCUUGGUUGGACAUAGUACGGCGUGAUAAGUGUCUUCGCCGGCACCUCGCAAGAGGGUGGCUGAUUGAGAGCUCUGUGCUUUCAAACCGUCCUUGGACAAUGACUGACA